GAUGAACGCUGGCGGCGUGCCUAACACAUGCCAGUCGAACGAGACCUUCGGGUCUAGUGGCGCACGGGUGCGUAACGCGUGGGAACCUGCCCUUAGGUUCGGAAUAACUCCCCGAAAGGGGUGCUAAUACCGGAUAAUGUCUUCGGACCAAAGAUUUAUCGCCUUUGGAUGGGCCCGCGUUGGAUUAGCUUGUUGGUAGGGUAAAAGCCUACCAAGGCGACGAUCCAUAGCUGGUCUGAGAGGAUGAGCAGCCACACUGGGACGGAGACACGGCCCAGACUCCUACGGGAGGGAGCAGUGGGGAAUAUAGGACAAUGGGCGAAGGGCUGAUGCAGCAAUGCCGCGUGAGUGCUGAAGGCCUUAGGGUUGUAAAGCUCUUUUACCCGGGAUGAUAAUGACGGUACCGGGAGAAUAAGCUCCGGCUAACUCCGUG
rnacentral:rRNA from 1 species